UCNUCUGGCUUAACUGGGGGCUUGCGGUGGGUACGGGCCGGCUUGAGUGCGGUAGGGGAGGCUGGAACUCCUGGUGUAGCGGUGGAAUGCGCAGAUAUCAGGAAGAACACCGGUGGCGAAGGCGGGUCUCUGGGCCGUUACUGACGCUGAGGAGCGAAAGCGUGGGGAGCGAACAGGAUUAGAUACCCUGGUAGUCCACGCCGUAAACGUUGGGCACUAGGUGUGGGGGGCCUUUUCCGGGUUUUCCGCGCCGUAGCUAACGCAUUAAGUGCCCCGCCUGGGGAGUACGGCCGCAAGGCUAAAACUCAAAGGAAUUGACGGGGGCCCGCACAAGCGGCGGAGCAUGCGGAUUAAUUCGAUGCAACGCGAAGAACCUUACCAAGGCUUGACAUGUGCCGGUCGGCUCCGGAGACGGGGUUUCCUCCUUGUGGGGCCGGUUCACAGGUGGUGCAUGGUUGUCGUCAGCUCGUGUCGUGAGAUGUUGGGUUAAGUCCCGCAACGAGCGCAACCCUUGUCUCGUGUUGCCAGCACGUUGUGGUGGGGACUCGCGGGAGACUGCCGGGGUCAACUCGGAGGAAGGUGGGGAUGACGUCAAAUCAUCAUGCCCCUUAUGUCUUGGGCUUCACGCAUGCUACAAUGGCCGGUACAGAGGGCUGCGAUACUGUGAGGUGGAGCGAAUCCCUUAAAGCCGGUCUCAGUUCGGAUCGGUGUCUGCAACUCGACACCGUGAAGUUGGAGUCGCUAGUAAUCGCAGAUCAGCAACGCUGCGGUGAAUACGUUCUCGGGCCUUGUACACACCGCCCGUCACGUCAUGAAAGUCGGCAACACCCGAAGCCCGUGGNCUUAUGGGG
rnacentral:rRNA from 1 species